rnacentral:snoRNA from 1 species
CCGCUUGAUGAUGAAGAACUGAUCUCCUACGUCCUGGCCGGCCUCGACGACGACUACGAGCCGGUCGUCUCCUCCAUCGUGGGCAGAUCGGAGGCGAUCUCCUUCGCCGAGUGCUACUCCCAACUCCUGGGCUUUGAGU